rnacentral:rRNA from 1 species
AUUGAACGCUGGCGGCAGGCCUAACACAUGCAAGUCGAGCGCGAAAGGCCUUCGGGCUGAGUAGAGCGGCGGACGGGUGAGUAACGCGUAGGAAUCUACCUGGUAGUGGGGGACAACUUGGGGAAACUCAAGCUAAUACCGCAUACGCCCUAUGGGGGAAAGUGGGGGACCUUCGGGCCUCACGCUAUCAGAUGAGCCUGCGUAGGAUUAGCUAGUUGGUGAGGUAAAGGCUCACCAAGGCGACGAUCCUUAGCUGGUCUGAGAGGAUGAUCAGCCACACUGGGACUGAGACACGGCCCAGACUCCUACGGGAGGCAGCAGUGGGGAAUAUUGCGCAAUGGGGGCAACCCUGACGCAGCCAUGCCGCGU